rnacentral:rRNA from 1 species
GAUUAACGCUGGCGGCGUGCAUAACACAUGCAAGUCGAACGAUGAAACUUAACUGAUUUCUUCGGAAUGAUUUUAAGUGGCUUAGUGGCGGACGGGUGAGUAACGCGUGAGUAACCUGCCUUGGAGAAGGGGAUAGCCUUUGGAAACGAAGAAUAAUACCCUAUGAUAUGAUAAUAUCUCAUGAUAUUAUCAUCAAAGAUUUAUCGCUCUAAGAUGGACUUGCGUCUGAUUAGUUAGUUGGUGAGGUAACAGCUCACCAAGGCAGCGAGCAGUACCGGGCUUGAGAGAGGGUACGGCCGCAUUGGGACUGAGACACGACCCAGACUCCUGCGAGAGGCAGCAGUGGGGAAUUUUGCACAAUGGGGGAAACCCUGAUGCAGCGACGCCGCGUGAUUUAGAAGGCCUUCGGGUUGUAAAAAUCUUUUGUAUGGGAAGAAAAUGACAGUACCAUACGAAUAAGGACCGGCUAAUUACGUG